GAUAAAACAGGUAGUUAUAGAUAUGGAUUAACCAGGUAGUUAUAGAUAAACCAGGUAGUUAUAGAUAUUGAUAAACCAGGCAGUUAUAGAUAAACCAGGUAGUUAUAGAUAUGGAUAAACCAGGUAGUUAUAGAUAAACCAGGUAGUUAUAGAUAUGGAUAAACCAGGUAGUUAUAGAUAUGGAUAAAACAGGUAGUUAUAGAUAUGGAUUAACCAGGUAGUUAUAGAUAUGG
rnacentral:lncRNA from 13 species